CGUGUAGGCGGUUCGGUAAGUCAGAGGUGAAAUGUCCCGGCUCAACCGGGGACCUGCCUUUGAAACUACCGGACUUGAGGCCGUGAGAGGAAACUGGAAUUCCUAGUGUAGCGGUGAAAUGCAUAGAUAUUAGGAAGAACACUAGUGGCGAAGGCGAGUUUCUGGCACGGUUCUGACGCUGAUGCGCGAAAGCUAGGGGAGCGAACG
rnacentral:rRNA from 1 species